rnacentral:rRNA from 1 species
CGAAGGGGGCAAGCGUUGUUCGGAAUUACUGGGCGUAAAGGGCGCGUAGGCGGCUUAUCAAGUCAGGCGUGAAAUUCCCGGGCUCAACCUGGGGGCUGCGCUUGAUACUGAUUGGCUUGAAUGCGGGAGAGGAUAGUGGAAUUCCCAGUGUAGAGGUGAAAUUCGUAGAUAUUGGGAAGAACACCGGUGGCGAAGGCGGCUAUCUGGCCCGUAAUUGACGCUGAGGCGCGAAAGCGUGGGGAGCAAACAGGAUUAGAUACCCUGGUAGUCCACGCCGUAAACGAUGAAGGCUAGACGUUGGCGAGCAUGCUCGUCAGUGUCGGAGCUAACGCAUUAAGCAUUCCGCCUGGGGAGUACGGUCGCAAGAUUA